rnacentral:rRNA from 1 species
UUAUGACCCUGCCCUUUGUACACACCGCCCGUCGCUGCCCGGGACUGAGCCAUUUCGAGAAAUUUGGGGACCGUUGAUUUAAUUUUUUUAAAUUACUUUGAUGGAAACCAAUUUAAUCGCAGUGGCUUGAACCGGGCAAAAGUCGUAACAAGGUAGCUGUAGGUGAACCUGCUGCUGGAUCAUUA